UCCCUGGUGGUCUAGUGGCUAAGACUCUGUGCUCCCAAUUCAACAGGCCCGGGUUCAAUCCCUAGUCAGGGAA
rnacentral:tRNA from 1 species